CUCAGGUGGAGGCUAGAAGUGCACAUCCUCAUUGACCAAGGUGCCUGACUCAGUUCAAAAUGGAGCUUGGUUACAAUCUCAGACAUCGUCUUCUGAGUCAUGCAAAUGCUGCCUCUGGAGGGGGGAAAAAUAUCACCCAACAACACAGAGGUGGUAAUGAACACAUGGGAGAUUCAUCUUUUGUUUUCCCUCCCAUGUCUGCUGCUCUCCUGCUGUGCAAAUCAUCUUCAAACAUCUAAAACCCAACCUUUCCAUCUUUGGCCAUUUGUCAAAUUUUAAAUGUCAAUGUAAAACCUCUUUCUAAAAAUUCUGGCAAUCAAAGCUGUUCUUUUUUUAAACACCAUACUUUUCUUCCUUGUUUGUUGAAAUUUAGGAAUCACAGUCUGUUGCUCAGUUUUCAGUCAGGGUAGCUGAUUUGUCAAUGGAUGGGCUGGUGGGCUGCUAAGCAAGGGCCAGAUGAGACCCCAUCUGGUCAGACCCCACAUCCUGCCAACUCUCACCCCAGUGGCCCAGGACGUACUCCACUCAUCAGCAGCCAUCAAAGUGUGGAUGCCCACCAGCACACCCUAAGCGGGCUGCCAUUUCUUUGAAUCCCUCAUCUCAUUAUUGCUAUGAGUGAUUCAAAGAAAGCUUGGAACUCCUCAAUCAUUUAACCACCCACAGGUCCCAGUCUAGCCACUUCUCAUCCAGUCUGAACAAUAAACCUGAUCAGACAUGGAAAACGUUCUGGGAUAACAAUAAACUGUAAAGAGAUUUGAACCAAACAUAUUCAGAUAUUUUGGGGUCACUAUAGACCCCUAAAUAUCUGUCAUAUCUAUUCUAUAAAGGUUUUAUUCCAGAGUUGCGUUCAGAGACGUAACAAGUUUAAAAUGAUUUCUAUUAUCCAAACAAACACUAAACCCCUGACUUCACUGCUGUUUACAUUUGACUUUGUCUGGUUGAGAUUUUUUAAACACUUUGAUUAAAACUUUGAUUUAAAUGACUGAAA